AACGCACCUUGCGCUCCUUGGUAUUCCGAGGAGCAUGCCUGUUUGAGUGUCUUGAAGUCAUCAACCCCUUCCGUUUCCGUGCGGUCGGCGGUUGGAUCUGGGGGCUUGCUGCCGCGAGGCUGCUCCCCUCAAAUGCAUCGGUUGGACCUGCGGGUCGAGCUCGACUGGGCGUUGUAACAACCUCGCUCUAACGGGACUCGCCCGCCUAGACGCGUCCUCCCGGCGACCUUUUGCCACAAGGGCGGGUCAACGCACACGUGUUUUUGAAAUCUGACCUCAAAUCAGGUAGGACUACCCGCUGAACUUAA
rnacentral:misc_RNA from 1 species